rnacentral:lncRNA from 1 species
UGGAGGGAGGGAGAGGUAAGGGCGUUGUGGGUCUUAGUAAGGACCCCAUACAAUAACAAUAGCUACUGUUACCUUCUGGCACUUCACUUACUUCAUUACAACCAAUUCAUAAUCACCCAUUUUACAGAUAAGAAUACUGAGACAUAGAGGCUUUAAUGAAUCGUAUCUAACGUCAUGCAGCUUGCAGAUGGUGAAACCGAGACUUCAACCCUGAUGUUUUGGUGCAGAACCCACAGUUGUCCUUAACUGCACUCACCUGAGGGGAAGCCCCUUGGCCACCGCAAAGCUGUCCCUAUCCCUCCAAACUCUUCAUCCCCACCGCACUCACAAUCACUCAGGAAUAAAGACCAGCUUUGUCAUUUGCAGUCGCAGUUUUCACCAAGCCAGUAACGGCACUGGGGGAGGCCUCUGCUGCUUUUGUGGCUUGGUUCCAGUGCUGAAUGGGGGUAGUUAUAGGAUGGCUUAGAAAUAGUCACUCUGCGUGUAAUCAGGUCACUUCACUGCAAAAACAUUUUUGUUUCCGCUUCCUUCCUUUUCUGGAUCUUAUCCAGGGAACAGUGUCUCUGACCUUCUAAGCCACAAAGGCCAGAGAUAAUGGGGCACAGCAGGUUGAUGUCGUGAAAGGAGGGGAGAGUCCGUGGUCAGGAUGAGUGUGUGGGCACACACACACACACACACGCGUGGGGAGACAGUCACUACCCAGGGUGUACGUCAUAACGUAUGCUUAGAAAAAUACUGCUAAGAAAUACACAGAAACUUUCCUAGUGUCGAAUUCUCUUUUGUGUGUCUGAGAUCUCCCUUCGGGCUCAGAGUAGAGUGGAGGAGACGGGCAUUCACUCUGGGCAAGUACAAAGAAAAGCACGUGAAAUUCCUCCCCUUCUUGUCCUCAUCCUCAUCCUUGCAGCUCACAUCCAGCGCCGGCCUGGGCUUCUGUGGUCUGUGUUGACUCUGAUUGCCUUGCCAGAUGUAUCGGCAGUGUUGAGACUGGAUUGGUUUACAAUUUCUUUCAAAUCUGCUUAAGAAUGAGAGAGACCUUUUUCUAUAGGGGAAACAUAAUGUGUUCUACUUGAUUAGGGCUGGAGGUAAAAAAUAAAAGCUAUAUGGAAAAUUCAAAGGAUUUAGGUUUUUAUUCUAAAUUUUAAAACUUACCCAUAAGAGAUUCGAUGGAAAAUAAUGAGCCCUAAAAAAAUAUUUUCCAGAAUCAAUCAUGAUUUUUUCAUGCACAUAAUGUUGGUUUAAGGCUUGGGAAUCAAGAGAAAAAUGCAGAAGGAAUGUCAUAUGUUUUGCUUUACAACUUUCUCUCCUAUUGUUUGCGUUUCACACUUUCACACUCAAAUCUCUCUUCCAUUAUUCUUUGACUUUUAUAAAUCUACUGAACAUAAAUUCUGUUUAAUUAUAGCAUGGUUCACGUGUACUAGAGAGUUAUGUUAAUAAUGAAAAUGCUGUUGAUUAGUAAUCAAAGACAGAUUUCGUAAACAGAGAAAAGGAGGCGAGGAAAGGUUUGGGGUUCAGGAAGGAAAGCCUAACUUCCUUCCUCACCAUUCUCCCACAGCUGCAAGGUUUUCCAGGUUACUGUGGCCAGGUCGCAGCCCUGUCUAUGCAGUGAUGUGGGUGUUGUGCUCUCUCUUUUUUCUGGUAACAAUUUUCCCUCCCUCCGUGGCCCCUGUGGACACUGAUGUUUGUGUCUCAGUUGGCCCUGGGGUGUGGUGGUGCUGCUGUGAGGAGCACUGGUCACAGCUGGCCUGCAUCCUCAGCAGGUCCCCAGGGGGACUUUAGGCAAACCACUUAACCUCUCUGAGCCUCAGUGUUCUUACAAAAAGAAGAUGCAGUAACAGCCCCAAAGGGUGGUUAGAAUUAUUUUAAAUAUCUCAUGUAAAAUGCCCAGUGUACAUCAGGUGUCCUGCCAUCAGAGGGACUCAAUGAUUUUGAUUAUUAUUAUAAUUUUAAAUCUUGACUGUUGAUACGAAGUGAGAAACAAAUGAAGUCAAGGCCCCAGGGCACUGCGUUUGAGGCUGUCGGGGCUUGAUGUGGUUCCAGGUGUGGCAGGAGUGCUGGGGAUGAGCGGGUACCAGGCUCCAGCCUGCCCUCCCCUUGCCCCAUCUUGGCACUGUGACGGCUGGCAGCUGGGUUCCCAAUCAGGCACUGAGAGGCCAUGUGUUCCUUUGUCAUAGGGCAUGUCCACCUCUGGUGUGUGUUUAGCCCCAGGCAAAUCUUGAACUAAGUCUCAGUGUCCCGGGAAAAAGAGCACUGGACUCAGAAGUAGAAGAAAUGGGGCCGAGUGUGGUGGCUCACGCCUGCAAUCCCAGCACUUUGGUAGGCCGAGGCAGGUGGAUCACCUGAGGUAGGAGUUCGAGACCAGCCUGACAAACAUGGUGAAAUCCUGUCUCUACGAAAAAUACUAAAAUUAGCCCGGCGUGGUGGCACAUGCCUGUAGUCCCAGCUACUCGGGCCCCUGAGGCAGGAGAAUCGCUUGAACACGGGAGGUGGAGGUUAGAGUGAGCCGAGAUAGCACCACUGCACUCCAGCCUGGGUGACAGAGUAAGACUCUGUCUCACAACAAAACAAAACAAAACAAAAGAUAUAGAAGAAAUGGGCCCUAGUCCCAUUCACAAGUCACCUUGGGUGAGCCGUUUCAGAGCAUGGGUUCCUCUGAUAGAAAGUUUACAUUUUCAUAUACGUCUUGUGGUUUCUGAAGGGAAGUUAAAUGAGAGAAUAUGUAUGUGAAAAUACUUUGCCUACUCAAAUAAUAAUAUCAGUGAUCAUAGAGGUUUUUGUUUUUUUUUCUCCCCAGGGCUCAGUAUUCCCCUACUAUCUGCUUACUGCCUUUCCAGAUCCUCCCUUAAAAUGCUUUGCUCAAACCUGUUACAUCUUCAAGUUUUUUCAGCUUUCUUGUCGCAGGCUCCAUUCCUAAUUCAUGCACAUAAUCUGCCAUGUGCAGACACAGGCACAUACUCAUUCAACUUGUCCCAUAAUCUUUAGGGUCUUGCUCCCUGUUACUUAGCCUGAAGAGUAGCCUGACAAUAUUUUCAGAGCUACUGAUGGGUUGAUGUAACCCAAGAUUGCCUGUGGUAGAGAAUACUGCAGACUAGGGUUUGGCCAAUUUUUUUUCAGUCAGGGGCCAGGUGGCUAGGACAGAGUUUUGGAGCAGAUGAGGGUUUUGACGCCCCCUCUCUUCCGCCCUUCCAUGACUGAGUGUCUCAACCUGGAGGUGCGGGUGGGGCUGUGUAGAGGCUCCCUGAGGAACGCAGGAGGUUGUUGAGCUGUUGAUUGGCCUGAGGUGGCUUGAAGGAUGGAAAUUUACAAGUCGGCCAAGAGCCUUCUCUCUGCCAAGGACUGAUUCAGAGUUCAGGGAUUAAGCCUCUGGCAUGGGGAUUAAAUUGGGAUCUCACAUGCACAGAUCCCACGGGCACCAGAUGCUGGGCUGGGUCUGGCACACGCACUGUUGGCUCUGAGAAGCUCCUCAACCCCUUGUGGGCAUCAAAGUAAAGAAAGAAGUGAGUGGUCCCCCUUUUCUGCAUUUAGCCUUGAUCUGAGAUGAGAACAUUCAUUGGAAACAACCAAGGAGCAUGAAGGAAUUUCUUCCCGAGGCCAAGAGUGAUGAAACGGCUGAGUGUUAAAUUUUCAGUAGGGAUACAGAGAAACAUGGGCACAAAACUCAGUUUCAUCCCCACGGCUCUGUUCCACUGGCUCUAUCACGCUGCUUCUUGUGGGCCUGGAAAAUGUUCCCCACUUUCCGAAGAGCUGUGUCUUUGCUCAACAUCCACAUCCCAGCAAACGGGAUCCAUUUCAAAAGAGGCUUUUGAUUACUCAUUGUCAUUUUUGAACCUCUUGUUGCUGUCAGUCAUCAGUAAACAGUGCUCUUAGGAAAGCCCUAAGUAGGAGAGGUUGAAGACGAUGCUGUGGGCUGGCACAGCUUUUUGUUUUGCACAUGCGGAAAUUGAGACUGGGAGUGGAAUGUGAGCAGUUCAGAGUUAAACAACUAAUUCGAAGUGAGUUGAGAACUGGAGUCCAGUCCUCUGGGCUUCUGUUCCAGUGUUCAUGAGACAGAACAAAACUGCUGCUCUGUAAUGAUAAGGGUCAUGGGGUUACAGGCACCAGUGGUUGAUGUGAAACUGUAUCACAGAAAGAAAAAGAAUUUAUUUUUGCUUUUUGACCUUGAGAGGUAAAGAAGUUUUCCCCACCUCUUGUAGAUCUAACCUCAUCAAAUCAUACAAAAAUCAAUUUUUGUUUACUUGCAUGGAGAUUAUCUUUUCGUACUCAUGUAUCAGUCAGCAUAGGCUGAGUUACAUUGUGGUAACAAAUGACCCCCAAAGCUUAGUGAUUUUCAAACACAAAGUUGGAUUUUUCACUCCUGCUAUAUGUGUGUUGGAAGUUGCUGAGUUUCUGCUGCUUAUCUCUUUACUCUAGGACUGAGGUGGACAGAACUCUCUCAAUUUCAGGGUUGGGAAAUUGUGAGCUGUGGCAGAAUCUGGCCUGCUAUUGUCUUUGUUAAUCAGGUUUUAUUGAAAGAUAGACAUGGUUAUUUGUUUAUGUACCGUUUUCACACCACCACAACAGGAUUAAGUUGUCAUAAUAGAGGCAGUAUGGCCCACAAUGAAGAUAAUCUUUACUUUCUGACCUUUUACAGAGCAAAUUGGCUGAUCCCUGGUGUAUCUGAAACAUGGUGAUCUGUGGCAGAAGGAAACGAGACAGAGCAAACUGUAGGCUGGUUCUCAAAACUUCUGCCCAGAAGUGACACAUGGUCAUUUCUACUCCCAUUUCUUGCACUAAAGCAAGACAUGUGACAUGUGGCCCCUCUUGAUGCCAACAAAAAAGGGGCAGGAAAUCAGCUGAUUCCAACAUAAUUUGUAUUUUAUUUGUAUCUGUGUCUGUAUUCUUGGUUGCAAACAACAGAAGUGUACUGUGUUUAAUUUAAAGAGAAGGAAUAUUAAUGUAAAGGUUAUCAGGGAAUCAUGCACUUGAGAGGAAGGCUGAAGAAGGGGCCUCUGUGGGGUGCAAGGACACAGAGCCACAGUCCCACUGGAGGGACGGCCUCCGUAAGCUUGCCCUCUGGCAUUGCCAGCAGUGGCCCUUCUCCACAGCACUGCUUGUAUCUCUGAGGCCACUGUGAGUAACUUUAAUUGAACUUUAGCCUGGAUGUUACUCCUUCAAGAUUCAAAGUGCUGGGUGGGUACUGUUUGUCGACCACCUUUAAAGCAUGUGGCCAUGUCCUAGCUGCUGGGAGGGUUGGGGAGAUGAAUAGCAAGACUUUUUCAUCUUGGUAGGAGGAAGGGGCCCUGCUUUCCCUAGAGACUUAUGAGUGGAGGAAUCUCAUCAACAUAAGAGGCCACGCUAAGAAGCCUGGGAAGCCUAGGAAGCCCUGUCGUUGUUCACGCGAAUGGUCAAUUGCUUGCAGUUGGAAGCUGAGUGGGAAGUCUGGCAAACGUCGGUAUUGCUUGUGCUUCAACUUCUUAAGUGACAUUUUCCUACAGGACGCCUUCAGCAGGGAGCCUGGAAGGAUCAGAAGAAGAUGGGAGAACUUCCUUCCUGCUGGUCACUUAGGAGCCAGAAUGACCUUUGUUACCUGGACUUUUCCUUUUCUCCUCCUCAUCAUUGUUCCAUCCCCACUAAGACCUUCAUUAUUUUGGAAAUAUUAAGUUAGAAAUCUAGUCAUGGCCAGCAUGAGAGAGGGACAGGGAUGCAUACAGGAAUCAAACUGAAUACAUUUUGUGUUUUCAUUCCCCGUAGGUACUUCUGCUGGUGUCAAUCAUUGGGACUGGAUUAUGUCUAAGCAUCUUCAACCUCACAGGGAGGAGCUUGACCGGAGAAAGAGGCUGAGAACUGCUUCUCUUACCAAGGACCUUCCCCAAGCCAGGCAUCUCCGGAGAUGGUAUGGAGCCUGGGGUAGCUCGGCCAGGCCUUUGAUCACCAGCGAUGCCAUUGCUCUUCCCCGUUUCGCGUCUGCUGUGGCUUGCUGCUGAGGCUGCUUUCAGACCUCUGGAAUCAGAAAAGGAGGUGACUAUAUCAGCCCUUGGGGAUCCUGUAAUGAGAAUCAUGUGUAAACGGAACGUUGACGAAGCCACACCUGGGGCACAUUGGACCCACGACAGACACUGAUGUGGGAAAAGAGCCGGUACCUUUUGAACCUGACCCAUUUUAUGAGAAGAUGCAUAUCAAAACAAACAAACAAAGCAACAACAAGAACACUGUGGAGUCUAAGAUUGAGGUGUGGUGUCUUGAACAAAAGACAAAAGACUCAGCCACGCUUAUGCUAAGAAGGAGAGCCAGGGAAAGAAAAUGCUGCAGUCGCAGUCAGAAGGAAAAGACUGUUUCACUUUGGCUUCAUGUGCAUCCCCCAGAGGGACUAUCAUGUUACUUUCAAAAUGACUGCAUAGCAGAUGAAAAAUGAUUCUCAUCUGCCUAUGGCUGCUGGGAGGUGGAGUGCAGUGCGGGACUCCUAUGGGGAUAUUUGUGGCUCCUCACGUCUCCUGGACCCAGGGUACCAGGACAGUGGACAUAAGGGACAAUAAAGCUUAUUUGAACAAAAAUACCAUCUUCAGAUUCUGCAUUCAUCACACAUUUUGUUCUCUUUGCUACUAGGAUGUGGCAAUGCAAAAAUAAUGUCCUGCUGGUCCUUCCAAGGAUACCAGAGUUCUAGAUUUUAUUCUGUCUCAAAUGUGGAGCCACUGGAGACUUCCCCAUUCAAACACCGUCCUUACCUUGGCAGAAGGAGCCCUUUAUGAUGACGUGUUUUCUUCUUUUCACACGCUUUCCCACCCUCAUACCUGGGCCCAGUUUACCAAAUGAAUUCAGUUCAAUAAAU